rnacentral:rRNA from 1 species
GGAUGAACGCUGGCGGCGUGCCUAAUCCAUGCAAGUCGAGCGAACAGAUGAGGAGCUUGCUCCUCUGACGUUAGCGGCGGACGGGUGAGUAACACGUGGAUAACCUACCUAUAAGACUGGGAUAACUUCGGGAAACCGGAGCUAAUACCGGAUAAUAUAUUUAACCGCAUGGUUCAAUAGUGAAAGACGGUUUUGCUGUCACUUAUAGAUGGAUCCGCGCCGCAUUAGCUAGUUGGUAAGGUAACGGCUUACCAAGGCAACGAUGCGUAGCCGACCUGAGAGGGUGAUCGGCCACACUGGAACUGAGACACGGUCCAGACUCCUACGGGAGGCAGCAGUAGGGAAUCUUCCGCAAUGGGCGAAAGCCUGACGGAGCAACGCCGCGUGAGUGAUGAAGGUCUUCGGAUCGUAAAACUCUGUUAUUAGGGAAGAACAAAUGUGUAAGUAACUAUGCACGUCUUGACGGUACCUAAUCAGAAAGCCACGGCUAACUACGUG